rnacentral:tRNA from 1 species
GGGGCUGUAGCUCAGUUGGCUAGAGCGCGUCGUUCGCAACGACGAGGCCACGGGUUCGAAUCCCGUCAGCUCCACCA